rnacentral:rRNA from 1 species
GCGAACGCUGGCGGCGUGCCUAACACAUGCAAGUCGAACGUGAAAAGGGAAACCUGAGUAAAGUGGCGUACGGGUGAGUAACGCGUAGGUAAUCUACCCCAGAAUCUGGAAUAACCUGCCGAAAGGCGGGCUAAUACUGGAUAGAGCGAGGGAACUCGUAAGAGAGUUUUUCGGGAAAGGGAGCCCGCGAGGGCCUUCGUUCUGGGAUGAGCCUGCGUCUCAUUAGCUAGUUGGUAAGGUAACGGCUUACCAAGGCGAUGAUGAGUAGCUGGUCUGAGAGGAUGAUCAGCCACACUGGAACUGAAACACGGUCCAGACUCCUACGGGAGGCAGCAGUGGGGAAUCUUGCGCAAUGGACGAAAGUCUGACGCAGCCACGCCGCGUGAGUGAAGAAGGCCUUCGGGUUGUAAAGCUCUGUCGGAUGGGACGAACAUCUUCAUAGUGAAUAGCUAUGAGGACUGACGGUACCAUCAAAGGAAGCACCGGCUAACUCCGUG